GAGACAUCCAGCAAAACAAUGAAAUCUUCAGAGUCACAACCAGAAUAGCAACAAAAUACUGUAGAGAAACACCUCAAUAAACACAGCAUGGAAUUCAUGAUCCAGUUCUGCACAAGACAGAAAAGUGUUGUCUUCAGUUAUUUUCAAAGUGUUCCUGUAGGUUCCUCUGUGCGGUUUCCUACACGAAGUGCUUCCGAUGCGCGAGUGACAGAUGUUUCGACUCCUUUGCAAAAUGCAGAAGGCAGGAAAAGUGAAACCAGAUGUAGAGUCCUCAGCAUCACAGAAUUUGAGGUCAUCCUUCAGAAUAGUGCUAUCUUGUCCUGAUUUUUAAUGAAAGCAAAUGCCUUAAUAUGCAACAAGACACCAGGUGUGAAGGCAGUGGUAGAUUCUAGAGGAUAAUAUACAAGGUAAAUAUCAAAAAAAUUAAAUAAAACAAAAGAAAAAAUAAAGGAAAAGGCCUCUGGGCAAAUAUUUGUUUUAUACAGGUUGAGCCUCUGGGUCGCUGCUGGCAAGAUACUCGACAAAAUGACAGCACUUGGUUGGUUCUUUUGAGACUUCGAGGCCAUUUGCCUUUAUGUGACAGGUUGUGUAUCCUUCUGACAGAAAUGUUUCUUUUUUAUCACAGUCAGUUAGGGAUGAG